rnacentral:rRNA from 1 species
UGAGGAAUAUUGGUCAAUGGACGAGAGUCUGAACCAGCCCAGUAGCGUGAAGGAUGAAGGUUCUAUGGAUUGUAAACUUCUUUUAUACGGGAAUAAACGAAUCCCCGCGUGGAUUUUUGCAUGUACCGUAUGAAUAAGGAUCGGCUAACUCCGUGCCAGCAGCCGCGGUAAUACGGAGGAUCCGAGCGUUAUCCGGAUUUAUUGGGUUUAAAGGGAGCGUAGAUGGGUUGUUAAGUCAGUUGUGAAAGUUUGCGGCUCAACCGUAAAAUUGCAGUUGAUACUGGCGACCUUGAGUGCAACAGAGGUAGGCGGAAUUCGUGGUGUAGCGGUGAAAUGCUUAGAUAUCACGAAGAACUCCGAUUGCGAAGGCAGCCUGCUAAGCUGCAACUGACAUUGAGGCUCGAAAGUGUGGGUAUCAAACAGGAUUAGAUACCCUGGUAGUCCACACGGUAAACGAUGAAUACUCGCUGUAGGCGAUAUACGGUCUGCGGCCAAGCGAAAGCAUUAAGUAUUCCACCUGGGGAGUACGCCCGCAACGGUGAAACUCAAAGGAAUUGACGGGGGCCCGCACAAGCGGAGGAACAUGUGGUUUAAUUCGAUGAUACGCGAGGAACCUUACCCGGGCUUAAAUUGCAACCGAAUAUGGCGGAAACGCUAUAGCUAGCAAUAGCGGUUGUGAAGGUGCUGCAUGGUUGUCGUCAGCUCGUGCCGUGAGGUGUCGGCUUAAGUGCCAUAACGAGCGCAACCCUUGCCGAUAGUUACUAACAGGUUAUGCUGAGGACUCUGUCGGGACUGCCAUCGUAAGAUGUGAGGAAGGUGGGGAUGACGUCAAAUCAGCACGGCCCUUACGUCCGGGGCUACACACGUGUUACAAUGGGGGGUACAGAGGGCUACUACCACGCAAGUGGAUGCCAAUCCCAAAAACCUCUCUCAGUUCGGAUUGAAGUCUGCAACCCGACUUCAUGAAGCUGGAUUCGCUAGUAAUCGCGCAUCAGCCACGGCGCGGUGAAUACGUUCCC